UUUAUUGAUUGUUUUAUUUUGGAGUUUUAGGUUUAUUUGCCUUUUGCAUCAUGCUCACUUUAUUUUUUGAAAUUAUUUUUUAAAUCGAAAUAUUUAGAUCUUGAUAUUAAUUGUUUAGAAUUUAUUUUUAUUUGUGUAAAAUAAAUUAAAUUAAUUUUAUGAUGUGAUAAAUUAUUCGUUAAAUAUUAUAUCUAUUUAGUUACUUUGUAUUUUUAGUGAUAUGUUAAGCUAAGAGGUUUAGCAUAGUAUUAUAUUUAGUAUAAUUUUAUACUAAUAUUAGGUUAAAAGUACCUAUUAUUUAUGAAUUUGUUAUAAAUCUUUUUUAAUUGUAUUAAAUUAAUUAUAGAGGUAACUUAAUUUAAUUAUUAGAUGAAAUGUAUUAGUGAAUAAGUAAUGUUAUUAUACUAAUUAUUUCUCAGGGUCUUUCCGUCUGUUUAUUAAAAACAUUUCUAAUUAUAAGUUUAAUUAGUAGUGCCUGCUCAGUGUUUAUAUAAAUAGCCGCAGUAUAUUGACUGUGCGAAGGUAGCAUAAUUAAUUGCCUUUUAAAUGGGGGCUUGUUUGAAUGGUUUGACGUGAUAGAUUUGAAUAUUUAGUAUUUUUUUGAAAUUGAUUAUGGGGGUUCAGAAUCCCCAUUAUUUAAUUAGACGGAAAGACCCUGGGAUCUUUUGUUUUUGUUUGGGGAAAAUUUUAUUGUUUUAUUAAUAUUAGGACCCUUUAAAUAGUAUAUUGAGUUAAGUUACCCCAGGGAUAACAGUGUAAUAAUUAAUAAGAGAUCUUAUCGAAUUAAUUGAUUGCCACCUCGAUGUUGACUUAGGUUAUAUAUUUAAGUGCAGUAGCUUAUAUAUUAGGUCUGUUCGACCUUUAUACCUUCAUGAGUUGAGUUAAGACCGGUGUGAGCCAGGUCGGUUCUUAUCUAUUGUGGAAAUUUAUCAGUACGAAAGGACAGUAGGUUUUUUUAUU
rnacentral:rRNA from 1 species